rnacentral:rRNA from 1 species
UACGUAGGGUGCGAGCGUUGUCCGGAAUUAUUGGGCGUAAAGGGCUCGUAGGCGGUCUGUCACGUCGGGAGUGAAAACUCGGGGCUCAACCCCGAGCCUGCUUCCGAUACGGGCAGACUAGAGGUAUGCAGGGGAGAACGGAAUUCCUGGUGUAGCGGUGAAAUGCGCAGAUAUCAGGAGGAACACCGGUGGCGAAGGCGGUUCUCUGGGCAUUACCUGACGCUGAGGAGCGAAAGUGUGGGGAGCGAACAGG